rnacentral:rRNA from 1 species
GAUGAACGCUGGCGGCGUGCCUAAUACAUGCAAGUCGAGCGAACAGACGAGGAGCUUGCUCCUCUGACGUUAGCGGCGGACGGGUGAGUAACACGUGGAUAACCUACCUAUAAGACUGGGAUAACUUCGGGAAACCGGAGCUAAUACCGGAUAAUAUAUUGAACCGCAUGGUUCAAUAGUGAAAGACGGUUUUGCUGUCACUUAUAGAUGGAUCCGCGCCGCAUUAGCUAGUUGGUAAGGUAACGGCUUACCAAGGCGACGAUGCGUAGCCGACCUGAGAGGGUGAUCGGCCACACUGGAACUGAGACACGGUCCAGACUCCUACGGGAGGCAGCAGUAGGGAAUCUUCCGCAAUGGGCGAAAGCCUGACGGAGCAACGCCGCGUGAGUGAUGAAGGUCUUCGGAUCGUAAAACUCUGUUAUUAGGGAAGAACAAAUGUGUAAGUAACUGUGCACGUCUUGACGGUACCUAAUCAGAAAGCCACGGCUAACUACG